AGGGACUUAGGUUAGCAUUCUAGACCGUGGGCCUUCAAAGCCCUAAGCGAGAGUUAAAAUCUCCCAGACCCUG
rnacentral:tRNA from 1 species